rnacentral:rRNA from 1 species
AGUCGAACGGGGGUAGCAAUACCCCAGUGGCGAACGGGUGCGUAACACGUGAGGAACAUUCCUUCCGGUGGGGGAUAGCCGGCCUAACGGCCGGGUAAUACCGCAUACGCUGUUCGGGGUGCAUACCCUGGAUCGGAAAGCAGCAAUGCGCCGGAAAGGUGCCUCGCGGCCUAUCAGCUAGUUGGUGAGGUAAUGGCUCACCAAGGCGACGACGGGUAGCUGGUCUGAGAGGAUGGCCAGCCACAUUGGGACUGAGACACGGCCCAGACUCCUACGGGAGGCAGCAGUGGGGAAUCUUGCGCAAUGGGCGAAAGCCUGACGCAGCGACGCCGCGUGUGGGAUGACGGCCUUCGGGUUGUAAACCACUGUCGCGAGGGACGAAGAUCUGACGGUACCUCGAAAGGAAGCACCGGCUAACUCUGUGCCAGCAGCCGCGGUAAUACAGAGGGUGCAAGCGUUGUCCGGAAUCACUGGGCGUAAAGGGCGCGUAGGCGGCCUGAUAAGUAGGAGGUGAAAUCCUGGGGCUUAACCUCAGGGCUGCCUUCUAGACUGUCCGGCUCGAGCACAGUAGAGGCAGGUGGAAUUCCCGGUGUAGCGGUGGAAUGCGUAGAGAUCGGGAAGAACAUCGGUGGCGAAGGCGGCCUGCUGGGCUGU